CCCUGGGUGGUGCAAACAGUGAACACGCUUGGCUGCUAACCAAAAGUUGGGAGGUUCGAGUCCACCCAAAGGCA
rnacentral:tRNA from 1 species